rnacentral:rRNA from 1 species
AUUGAACGCUGGCGGCAGGCCUAACACAUGCAAGUCGAGCGGGGUUUUCGGACCUAGCGGCGGACGGGUGAGUAAUGCGUAGGAAGCUGCCCGAUAGAGGGGGAUAUCAGUUGGAAACGACUGUUAAUACCGCAUAAUGUCUACGGACCAAAGUGUGGGACCUUCGGGCCACAUGCUAUCGGAUGCGCCUACGUGGGAUU